rnacentral:rRNA from 1 species
CACUCCUGCGGGAGGCAGCAGUGGGGAAUAUUGGACAAUGGGCGCAAGCCUGAUCCAGCCAUGCCGCGUGAGUGAUGAAGGCCCUAGGGUUGUAAAGCUCUUUCACCGGUGAAGAUAAUGACGGUAACCGGAGAAGAAGCCCCGGCUAACUUCGUGCCAGCAGCCGCGGUAAUACGAAGGGGUCUAGCGUUGUUCGGAUUUACUGGGCGUAAAGCGCACGUAGGCGGACUAUUAAGUCAGGGGUGAAAUCCCGGGGCUCAACCCCGGAACUGCCUUUGAUACUGGUAGUCUUGAGUUCGAGAGAGGUGAGUGGAAUUCCGAGUGUAGAGGUGAAAUUCGUAGAUAUUCGGAGGAACACCAGUGGCGAAGGCGGCUCACUGGCUCGAUACUGACGCUGAGGUGCGAAAGCGUGGGGAGCAAACAGGAUUAGAAACCCCAGUAGUCCCAUGAU